rnacentral:rRNA from 1 species
CAAUGCCGCGUGUGUGAAGAAGGCCUGAGGGUUGUAAAGCACUUUCAGUAGGGAGGAGGGCUUAUAGGUUAAGAGCUGAUAAGUUGGACGUUACCUACAGAAGAAGCACCGGCUAACUCCGUGCCAGCAGCCGCGGUAAUACGGAGGGUGCGAGCGUUAAUCGGAAUUACUGGGCGUAAAGGGUGCGUAGGUGGUUUAUUAAGUUAACUGUGAAAUCCCUGGGCUUAACCUAGGGAGGUCAGUUAAAACUGGUAGACUCGAGUACAAGAGAGGGUAGUGGAAUUUCCGGUGUAGCGGUGAAAUGCGUAGAGAUCGGAAGGAACACCAGUGGCGAAGGCGGCUACCUGGCUUGAUACUGACACUGAGGCACGAAAGCGUGGGGAGCAAACAGGAUUAGAUACCCUGGUAGUCCACGCCGUAAACGAUGUCAACUGGCUGUUAGGUACAUAAAUGUAUUUAGUGGCAAAGCUAACGCGUUAAGUUGACCGCCUGGGGAGU